UAUCAAUAAGCGGAGGAA
rnacentral:ncRNA from 3 species